rnacentral:snoRNA from 1 species
UUUACAUGAUGUCAAUUCAGUUCUGCUUCUGCAAUCAUUUUGGAGACAAACCAUAUACCAAAACUUUCUGAUUC